CUGGCCCAUUAGCCAAUGUAAACAAACAAAUUUUAUUCGAAUUAAAAAAUGGUAAAAAAGGCGCAAUCAAAACGGCAGCCGUGGGUAAAGAAUCUUUACUCAAACCGAGAAUAUCCAGACAACUAUACGGACGCCAGCUUCCUGAAGGAUUUGCGCACAAACCUGCAUGUCAGGAUAUACACAUUCAGUGAGGCGAUUGCCGGCAUCACGGUGCUGAAUAACCAGAUUUCCUGCAUUACCGGCUUUCUGAUACUCUAUCAACUGAUGCUCAGCGAUAGAGUUUCGCCCACCACGAUCCUGGUGCCCAGUUGCGGUGUUACGGGGAUUGGUUACCUGUGCUACCGGGGCAGGAGUCUCAGCUGGGCGCUCCUGGGAGAGGACUCCAAAACCUUGGUCACAGUGGUGCUCUUUGGAUACCUAUUCUCACCAAUGCUGCACACCCUAACCCAGGCCAUCAGCACGGACACCAUCUACACGAUGACUUUCUUUGUCCUGCUCGGAAAUCUAAUAUUCAGUCACUACGGAUUGGACGUGGCCAUGGUCUCCAAGGCCAUCUCACUCAAUGCUGCGAUAUUUGGAGCCAUUUGUCUGGCCUCCAGACUGCCGACUUCGUAUCAUGCCUUCGUACUCCUCGUCGAGGCCGCCGUCUUCUUUGUGCUGUAUCCCAUAAUGACUGAGGCGAACUGGAGGGCUGGAUUCAUGGUGCCCAUCUUUGCCAUUUGCUGUCUAGCCCUGUACUGGAUAUCGCGCCCUGUGCUCUAUCUCUACGCCUCCACCACCGUCUUCAUCAACUUCGUGUGCCCCUUCAUUUUCGUGUGGCAGCAGCAGUACAAGUUCAACAUCCACGGGCCUUGGGACGAGGCCAUCGUGGAGGAGAACACCGACGAGAACCUGGACAAUAACUUAUAGCGGCAGCUCCGCUUCUCAGAACAGCUGCCGCCACGACCAGGUGGCGGCGAUGUCGGGGAGCACUUCACCAAUCACUAACCAUUCGCACGAUUUUUUGUUUUUAACUUUGUUAACUCAUUCCAAGCUUUUGUCAAUGUUGAUCUUUUUAUCAUGUUAUGUCUUUUUAGGUUGUAUUAAAUCGAAGGAUUUCAUGUUAAAUAAUCAAAAACCCUUGGGUACAUAUCUUACAUUAUAGAUUUAUU